rnacentral:lncRNA from 1 species
CAAUGUGCAGUUCUGAGAAGGGAUUCAGUGUGCCGUUGCUGGCUCUGAGAAGUAGGAGCCUUGUGCAAGGAUUCAGGAGAGGCCUCUAGAAACUGAGGAUGGCCCUCAACUGGCAAGCACAGGCAACUGAAUUCGGCCAGGCAUCUGGGUCCUGUGCUAGGGGCUAGGAAGACAAAGAGAAACAGAGUCACAUCCUCCCACAAAAAUCCAUGAGAUGUCGGAGAGCCGAACUUGUAAACAGCCAUCAUCAACACAAAGAAGGAUGCACUGAUGCUCUCUAGAGGCUCACAGGAAAUGAUUCAUGGGCAUAGAGCUUCUUUGCAUCCCUGGAGGAAUGAAUGACCUCCCCAUGUGCUGGGGUUGAAGUUAUGGUUGAUAACAGCAUACUGCAGAUUGACCACCCAGUGACACACUGUCAUCUCCUACAUGUCAGAGAGUCACUGCUCAUCUUUCCCCUUUGUCCGUUUGGAUUGGAGUGUCAAGCUCUGGCCUGGGCUUCAGAACUUCCAGGAUGGCAUGUGGCUCUCACAGAGAGUCUCCUCCAGCUCCCGUUCACCUUGGCUGGGGCUCUGGGCUCCUUCCUGAUCUUUCAGAUGCUCUAGGUCAUGCCGAUUAUAGCCUUACCUUGCACCCCACCAGACAGAAACAACUACCCCAGGGGCAAGCCAGGCUCGAAGGAUUUUGCUUCAAGAACCUUCCACACAAAUGUGUUUCAUUUGGGAUUUCAAAGCAUCUAUCUACCUUCUGUCUUCCUCUGUGUCAAAGGCUCUUCAUUUGUGGUCCACAUGACCUCAGACAAGUUAUUUCACCACCCAAGGCCUUUGUUUCCUCAUCUUUAAAAUAGUGGUGGUAGGGUGAUGAAUGGGACCCACUUCAUUCAGCUGUUAUUUGAAACAGCACAGACUUGGCUGCUUGACUUGACAUGAAUCCACCCACUUUCUAUGAGUUUGGGGUGAGUAACUUCUCUGAGCCUCUGUUUCCCCAGCUGUACCAUGGAAGCAAUGCUUUGUAUGCCAUAGUUUUGUUGUGAGGAUUAAAGAAAAGAACAUAUGCAUGGAGGUUAAGUCAGACCAUGAAAUACAGAAAAUGCUCAAUAUUAAUUAUUAUAAUCUUACUGUGUACUCUUGAAAGUUUAUAAGUUUAUGAAUAAUUUUGGAGGGAUGCAGCCCAUGAAUUUUCUGCAAUUAUUUGCAAAUAUUUGUGUGUCUAUCAUGUGAACCUUUUCUGGGACAAGUUUCCAUAAUACUCAUCUGAUU